GCUGGGUGGGGUGCAAUGCACAGCUGCCUAAACAUGCAUUCUGUCGGAGAGCAAGACUGGGAACGUGAAAAAGGGGAAUAUCAUUUUUAUUUAUUCAGUCAUCUAAACGGUUGUAUCCCACUUAUCGAGGAACUUCCUCCACAAAACAGAGCACCUUCUCUAGAGGAAAGGAGGAAGCAUUUGGGGCUUAGAAACAAGACAACCAAGAAUGGGCGCAAUCGAGGUUUAUACAACUGUACCCGGUGUGGAGAGCAAAAUGUUUUUCCCCCUCACCCGUAACUCAAAAAUUCCAGUGACACUGACUGAGGAUUUGGAUAGACCCAAAGCAAAGAGCUUCAACACACAACAGGACCACAGGGAGCAUAAGUAUCUACAUACUGCCGUCUUGCAAAACGUCAGGCUGGUGUACGACAACACAAAAAGCACUUAAAAAUAAUACAAAACAAUCAUGAAAACGACGGGCUACUAGAAAAAGAAAAAAAGCAGCCUGUCAGCACAAUAAGUUUUCAAGAGACGCCUGAAAGCAGGAAUGAAGAUGCCUGCUGAAUCUGAGCAUGCCACAGCAUGGGACCAGUGACACUAAACCUCCGUAACAUGAAGGACCACUGAUGGCACUCCUCCGGAUGAUCUCAGAGAUCACGAUGGGAUACGAGGGCUCAGCCCACCUGAGCAGCAGCCCUCAAGUGACCAUCAGACAGCUGCUGGUGGUCAGGACUACCGCUAGGCACGCCCACCGACAUAGGUGGGGGGCUCAUCGGAUCUCAGUCUAGCCCCAUAUUUGAACCACAGAGGACUUGUGGGCAUCUGAUGAAGUUGGGAGUUUCAGGAGAGACAAGAGGAAGGCGUUCAUCGCACAGCUCAAUGAUGGAAUUUGCUCCCAGAAGAUGGCCACCGACUUGGGUGGCUUUCAGAGAAGGUUAGCCAAAUUCACAGAGAAGAAGGCUGCACCUGUGGUCUCCCCUCCACUGUUGGAGGCAGCGUGCCUCUGUAUCAUACCAGCUGCUGGAAACUGCAGGAGGGGAAAGCACUCUUGUGCUCAGCCCCCCCCUUCCGGGCUUCCCUUUGGGGGCAUCCAGCUGGCCCCUGCGAGAACAGGAGGCUGGACUCGAUGGGCCCCCUUUGGCUGGAUCCGGCAGCCGGGCUCUGCUGAUGUUACAAGAUGCAAUGCACAGUCUUCAAAACAGGGUGUCACUCAGUCGGGAGGACACGCUGGACUCGCAUGAUCUCUUGUGGGCCUCAGCCCCUCUCCCCCUAAACCUGUUUCACUGUGCUGAAUCUGGAGUGGUGCGUGUUGGGGACAGCGACUUGCAAAGCCAGUGCACCAUUGUCUGGGCUGACCUAGGGGGACCCUCCCCUAUGAUCUGAGGCUGGGUCCCUCUCAUGGACUCAGGACCCACUCGGCCUCCAUGUCAGGAGCCGAACUCACCCUGGGUGCAGACGGCCCUUCUGUGGCCUGGUCACAGGAUCAUGGCUCCUCCUCACCCUCUCAGAUGGAGCCGGACCCAGGGCUGGAGAUAAGGCCGGAGCCUCCUGAUUUUCCUCUGAUGAGGACUCCCCCAGCUGGGACCUGACAUUGGCACACAAGUCUUGGUGGGCUUCCUCAAACACGCCUAUUUGUAACGGGCUACCCCAAUGAAGAAAUUUUAACAUUUCCUCCCAUCUCCAUUCCCUAAAGCCCAGAAUAAUCAAUGAGAUGCACUAGCACUACUCAGGCUGCAUCAACUACUCCUCCCCCCCUUGCUGUGGAUGAUGAAAAACACUCGGUAGAGAUGGAGCCUGAUCCACAAUGGAACCUCCAGUGGAAGCAAGCUGUUGCCCAUCACUGGUAAAGAAUGUGCCAAGUGUCCUUGCCACCACGGCUUGUGUUGCUCUUCCUCGCUGCUUGUCACCACCCGCCUCAGCACCAGCAUGGCCAUCUUCAGCCUCCUCCUCAAGCCUUUGUCCUGCUUCUUUGUCUAUCAGAUGUGCCGGGAGUGUGGAGGAGAGUGUGCCUUGAACCUAGACUGGGAAGGUUCACCGGAGAGACAUGUUUCCCGGGAUGGUGUUGACUCCGCUGCUGUUUCCCUUGUCUGCCACUGCUGGGCCGGCUUCCUCUCUCUGUUCCUUCCAGAGGGGCUUUUCUUGCUUUGUGUGUGUCUCUGCCGGUUUGGAGAUGGGCAUUUGCCUCCCAUCUUUUCUCCUGGGCCCUUUUUAGAAGGCCAAGAAGAGAGAGGAGUGAAGUUUUGCUUUGUGAUUUGUUAAUGUAUUUUAUUGGAUGUUGUAACUGCUGUUUUUUGUAAAUUGUAUUGUUUUUAUUGAUGUAUUUUUAUAUUUGUGUUAAUUUUUUUUUGUAAGCCGCCUUGAGGGCCUUUUGGCCAAAAGGCGGGGUAGAAAUAAACAACAACAACAACAAUAAUAAUAAUAAUAAUAAUAAUCCCUCCUUGAAAAGUGCCCUUUCCAAAAACCGGUGCCAGUUUAAAC